rnacentral:rRNA from 1 species
ACAGCAGUAGCCGCGGUAAUACGAAGGGGGCUAGCGUUGCUCGGAAUCACUGGGCGUAAAGGGUGCGUAGGCGGGUCUUUAAGUCAGGGGUGAAAUCCUGGAGCUCAACUCCAGAACUGCCUUUGAUACUGAAGAUCUUGAGUUCGGGAGAGGUGAGUGGAACUGCGAGUGUAGAGGUGAAAUUCGUAGAUAUUCGCAAGAACACCAGUGGCGAAGGCGGCUCACUGGCCCGAUACUGACGCUGAGGCACGAAAGCGUGGGGUGCAAACAGGAUUAGAGACCCCUGUAGUCCCUGUCUCUUAUAC